GACGAACGCUGGCGGCGUGCUUAACACAUGCAAGUCGAGCGAUGAAGCUUCUUCGGAAGUGGAUUAGCGGCGGACGGGUGAGUAACACGUGGGUAACCUGCCUCAUAGAGGGGAAUAGCCUUCCGAAAGGAAGAUUAAUACCGCAUAAGAUUGUAAUGCCGCAUGGCAUAGCAAUUAAAGGAGCAAUCCGCUAUGAGAUGGACCCGCGUCGCAUUAGCUAGUUGGUGAGGUAACGGCUCACCAAGGCGACGAUGCGUAGCCGACCUGAGAGGGUGAUCGGCCACAUUGGGACUGAGACACGGCCCAGACUCCUACGGGAGGCAGCAGUGGGGAAUAUUGCACAAUGGGGGAAACCCUGAUGCAGCAACGCCGCGUGAGUGAUGACGGUCUUCGGAUUGUAAAGCUCUGUCUUUAGGGACGAUAAUGACGGUACCUAAGGAGGAAGCCAACGGCUAACUACGUG
rnacentral:rRNA from 1 species